CGGUGACAAAGUAAGGGCGUGGGGGGAGGGGCGGUGAGUUGACUGGGUUGUUUCAUGCGAACAUGUACAGUUACUCUUUUUAGUUCUUGUUAUGUUCUUGGUGUAAAGCUUGCAGAAAAGUAUCAGUCCUUAAGUUAUAAUUAGUCUAUUGGGUAUGAAUAGGGCCAACAAUAACAACCUGAAGGCUAAAAAGGGAGUAUCUUCUGUGACAGUGACCUCUCCUUCAGUGUUUAAUUAGGUACGCCACCUAACAUGGCGAUGUGGGCAAAACAGUCUCAGUCCUGUGACAUUCUGCUUACUUUACUGCUCCUUAAAGCAAACUUUUAAUGAUCUAUCUGGGUGUCAAUAGAAAAAACAAACAAACAAAAAAACAAAACAAAACCAUAAACCCUUCAGCAACAAGGCAAACACCUCUCUUCCCCCUCCUGCCAGGCCCUGCCAUGGGCCCCGUGGCCUGCCCAGGCCCCAGCCCUGUCAGGUGAUGGGGAGCUGACUGUGGAGGUUUCCUUCCGUUGGUCCUGCUGGCUGGUAACAUUUACGUUAGUACUGCUGAGCUGGUGUAAUGCAAGGAAGGACACAUCAUGAAAUGGAAACAUUAUCCUUUUUUGGUCAUAGUAGCUGCAUGCAGCCUUUCCAGAUGUCAUCACUUACUGGGUCAGCUUAUUCCAGUUUUCUUUUGUAAAGGUGGGAACAAGCUUUCAGAUUCGUGGUCUGAUAACAAAAACAGUAGGAACAUUCCUCAUGGACCUGGCUGGGCUUGGGAUCCUUACUUCAAGCAGGGAGUACUGUGGAAGUGCCAUCCAUCUGAACUGGAACAGAGGCUAGAUAUGUGGUAUCGAGUUAGUCCUUGAGCUUUACAGAGAUGCCUGGACAACAAAAGACUUGUAAAACCACGUAAUGACAAAUUUUGAAUGCUCUUGGUAGAUUUAAUGGUAGAUUUUUAUAACAGAAUUCUUGUAGAUCUUAGAGAGAGGAGGAUGAGGAGAGAACUUCUUUUGAACCCAGGUUUUUGAGAUUUUGGUAGAAGCUUGUGUACCUCCAUGGUCUACACAUACUGUCUCCCAGUACUUGAGCAAUACUAAUGUACUAGAAAUCUGGCAUUUUCAUCAUUUUCAAGUAAAAGAAGUGUGUUUUUUUUUAUUAUUUUUUUCGGACACCUGUUUUGAUUUUUAAAUGUGAAGUGUAUUUCUUUUCUUCAGGAAAUAGUUCUCCUUUAGGAGAUACAUAUAAGCAACAAAGUGUAAUAUAUAUAAAAUAUACACAACAGAAUGUAAAUUUGAGAAAUGUUUCACUAGUGAAACUUUGAAACAAAUGAAAAAAAACAAAAAACAUUCUCUGAUAAUCAUAGAAGCCUACCAAAGUCCUGAAGAGAACCAACUCAGGAUUUGACCUCUCCUGAAGUAAACAAGAAUAUUUUAAAUUUUCUAUUCCUGAGCAUUUCUUGGCUUGCUAAUGCAACAUUGGAGAAAAUAUGUUCACUAUCCUAGCUUGUUUACCUCUUUCAACAGGAGACAGUUAUUAAACAUAAUGAAACUUUCAGAAAUGCAAAUGUUCUUUUUUCAUUACCUCUAAAUUUUAACCAGAGUAGGCACUUUUUGCCUACCUUUAAAGCCAUGCUGAGGUGUAAGCUGUCAUUUUUGGAAUCUAAAGCUUUUAUCUAAGAGCUUUCAUCAAGUUAAUCAUAACCCAGUAAUGUAAGUCACUCUUCAGGUCUGCCUUUUCUACGAAGUUAUUUGGUGUGUUUUUUUUUUUUUUUUUUUCAAAAUCACUUAACUUUUCAAUCCUCAAGAAUCUGUGAUCUGGCUAGUGAAAACAGCUUACAGAUUUGCAGGUUCCCUUUGUUACCUGCUUGUCAAACUACUAAAUUUUAUCUGAAUAUGGUACUCCAGGUUUCUAAGUGUUUUAUACAUUCUGACAAGAAAUUCGAUUUUCUUGUGUCCCUUCAACCUCUGAAGUUGCCCUGAAAAAAAUGGUUCCUAGCACUGAAAGAUCUUCAUUUGUUGCUUAAUAAAGAUCAUGACCAUCUUUUAUAAUGUAGUGUA
rnacentral:lncRNA from 1 species